AGGAUGAACGCUGGCGGCGUGCUUAACACAUGCAAGUCGAACGGUGAAGUGAGGAGCUUGCUCCUUGCGGAUCAGUGGCGAACGGGUGAGUAACACGUGAGUAACCUGCCCUUGACUCUGGGAUAAGCACUGGAAACGGUGUCUAAUACCGGAUACGACCUCCGAAGGCAUCUUCUGGAAGUGGAAAGAAUUUCGGUCAAGGAUGGACUCGCGGCCUAUCAGCUAGUUGGUGAGGUAACGGCCCACCAAGGCGACGACGGGUAGCCGGCCUGAGAGGGUGACCGGCCACACUGGGACUGAGACACGGCCCAGACUCCUACGGGAGGCAGCAGUGGGGAAUAUUGCACAAUGGGCGCAAGCCUGAUGCAGCAACGCCGCGUGAGGGACGACGGCCUUCGGGUUGUAACCUCUUUUAGUAGGGAAGAAGCGAAAGUGACGGUACCUGCAGAAAAGACACCGGCUAACUACGUGCCAGCAGCCGCGGU
rnacentral:rRNA from 1 species